ACCUAGAGAAAGGCAAGCUAAAGGCAGGGGUGGUUCUUGCAGAUUUUUCUUCACGCCGCUCUGGUCGGUCCAUCGUAUCCCUCGCUAUCUGCGGCAUUUUUUUCCAGAUCUUGCAUAGGCGGUGGUACACCCCGAGUUGCUGCCGGUGUCAAUGAGGAGCUGUAACUCUUACCUACUGCUCCUGCUUCCGGCCAGCAAUCCAGGAGCCUCUGCUAGACUGGCGAGUGGGGCACCAGCCUUGGAGCCAGGGCAUGGCAAGGUCUGCACCGACCAAGUCAGCGCAGGAUAUUGUGGAGGACUACAUGGUUGUUACUAGCUAUGUAUGUGGAAAGGCAUCUUGGCUCCUGCGGUGUCGCUGCUGGCAACAUCUGUGAUUUAUAGUUGAAGUUGCUUGUAGUGUUGAGUGGUAGUCGAUCGUCCAUUUUCUGUAUUUUGGUUAGGUUGUAUUCUUGGUUAACUAAUCUGUGCUGUG